UUCCUUCUUUGAAGGGCCCAGAUUCAUGAAGCAACUGCAUGACAUGCUUAACCUGCCAACAAAACAAUUAAAUGAUCAGAAAGAAAGAAAAAGAAAUAAGCAUCAAAACAUACUUCUGCCGGAAAAGGUUUCCAGGUUUGAAAGGUGAAGCAUCUAUAAAAUCUGGAAAAGGUUUCCAGGUUUGAAAGGUGAAGCAUCUAUAAAAUCUAAAGUUUUCACUACCCACGUCAAAACUUGAUAAUAUAGUCCUCAGCAAGAGUUGCAUUCCAACAUAUACACUCUUUUUAGGGUGCAAUUCCUUGCAAUCUUGAGCUAAUAUCCUAUCGAAAAGGUUAAGAUUCUGACCCUACAAAUUGAGAUGGGCCCCUAAAUUGAAGAACAUUGAAUAUGAUCUACAAGUGCACCAGAAUUGAAGAUCAGGAAUCAUGAUACACAAUAUUUAAAAGUCAAUUAAGUGGUCAUAUAUAUUAAUGAUUUUUCAUCUAAAUGUAAAAAAGAACAGUUUUAACAACAUAAAACAUGUUUUAGUUUGAUUAAAAGUCUUAAAGUAUCAAAAUAUGCUGAAUUUUAGCAUGCAUGUAUCUACUGAUGUUUGAGACUGGACCAGUGGCUCAGAUAUCAAAUGAAAUGAUCAUAGUUUAGUGCAUCAAUGAUUUUAGAAAAAUCUAUCAGUGACUUAUGAACAUGCAAUAGGUCCUUAAUUUACAUGGUUUCUGUCUCUUGGGAUUUUUUAUGUCAUAGAUCAUAAUCAAGGGGUAGAAAUUCAAUCUAAGCCCUAAUUUUGAUCUUCAACUGAAGAAUAGAAGCCUUGAUCCUUCCUUGUUUCCAAAGAAACUUCAUGUGCAGAUUCAAAAUAUGGUUGCAUAAACCACAAUCGAAGAGUCUCAAAUGGUCCACAAGGAAAUCAUGCAAUGUUUCAUGCUGCAAUGACUCGAGAGUAGGACAGUUUGCCUACUAAGCCUACUAAUGAAUGCUAUUACGACUCUGGGGAGGCUCAAACAUGAUAUGCAAGUUAAAUUCUGUGACUUUACAUCUAUAAUCUGCAUGAGAAUAACAUAUUGCAUUGAAUAGUUGCUUUCAGACUGCUUAACAAUCUUUAGCAGAUGUAACUAGUCCAAGGUUAGAUCAACACUCAAACAUGAUUCACUGCAAUUGCAUCUCACUUCAUAGAAUAAUUUCAUAACCAAAUCAUAAUUUGGUUAUGGGACACACCAGAAAAAAGAACGAGUUCAUUUUAAGUUAACAUGAAGCCAUUUUAAGUUAAAAUAUAUACCUUCAUUAUAUAUAUACAUAUAUAUAUACACAUUUGUGUUAAGCCAAGUUCUGUUAAAAUCUAAUGCUGAAGCUUUGAACAAUUCUCUGUUAGGUUUCUUAUACUAUCUGAUGAGCUUGAGUUCACAUAAACAAUAACCAAUUCACCUGUCUGCACAUCAAGAAAGCUUCAACUGAAAACAAAUUCAGUCAGAAGUUGAGAUUAAAUUGUUUGGAAUAAAUGGUUCAAAAUGAUCAAAUUAGUCUAGGUUAGACCAAAUCAAUGUGUAUCAUUCCACUGACAACUCAAUGCAC
rnacentral:lncRNA from 1 species